rnacentral:lncRNA from 1 species
AUCAUAACAUCCUUUUGUCACUACUAUCCCAUGUCACUUAUAAAAUAUGCCAGUACUUAGCUUUCUUCAUCAUGCUUAAAUAUGCAAAGGUUCAUUUAUUAAUAUUUGAUAGACAAUUAAGUAUUUUUUGGUCUUUACUUCUCUGUCUCUCCCUUAGAUAAUUCUAAUCCCCCCUCCCCAUAAUAAGAAAAUAAAAACAUUUUGGUGAAUAGUACAUCUGGACAAAAAAUACAACUUGUAUUUUACUUCUGGUACUUUAAAAUACUAUAUUUAGUUGUUGCUUUUGUUAGUUUCAGAAACCUAAAAGAAAAUCUUUCAUUUCCUAAAAGAUAAAAUUUGAUCUAGCCUCUUUAGUAGACUCUAUCAUAGUUCUAUUGUUUGCUGUGUUUAUUUGCUUAAUGAAUUGCGUGAGAACAGUCACUGUAAUGAAGUGUGUGUGUUGGGGGUGGGGGGAAGGGCAUGGGAAAUGUUUUAUGGAAAAAGAAGUUAUAAGCCUAAUACUAUGAAGUAACAUCUAAUGAAGUUCUUUUUAAGUGCAAUAUAUUUAUUUCUGCUAGAAAUGUAUUAUCAACAUUAUGUAAUAUUUGAAGCAUUACAUGCUAUUUGUAAACAGCUUAAAAUUAUAUAUUACUCAAAAUUGUACAGAAGU